AAAUAUCUCAUUAAAACAGGGGGAGGUCUUAGCUCCCCUAUUUCCGAUUUUAGCUACUUCUACGAAUAAUUGAUUUGUUUAAUGAAUUUAUUUAAUUAAAACGAUUUUAAUUUAAAAUUACAACUUCAACGCCGAGGCAAAUGGUCAAAAUGAAGCGGAAUGUUAUCAUUGGUGAUUUGACAAUAAUAAAGAAUGACACUGCGCCGCCUUACCAAUGGCUGUUGGUUCGAGUGUCUGCUGUUCAUACACGAACAGAUGGAAUUGUCCGUGCCGUUACUGUGAGAAAUUCUGGCGGAGCAGAGUUUUGAACAUGACCCCCUAUAAUAUUGUUAUCCCAUUAAUUAGUUGCCUAAUAUUCUGAUAUGGCCUAAUAUGCAUAGUAUUUGUAUGAAGUAAUUUUUAUCAUUUUUAUUUUUAAUGUGUUAUAGUAAUUAAUUUAUUUGUAUUUUCAAUAUUCUAUGUGUUCGUAUUAUUAAUAUUAUUCAUAAUUAAUUUUAAAAGGCUCUAAGACCUUUCAAAAGGGGGUUCAUGUUCGCGCCAAGCGUGAGAGCUGCACUGGUUGGGUGUGGUCAGCUGGUAGUGCUUGAGCUCCAUCAGCUAUUAGGACGCUAUAUCAGCGGCCUGUAUUGUUUGGUCGUUUUAUUCAAAAUAUAUAUAUAUAUAUGUACUUGUUGUAGUAUUAUACAGAUUAGGUUGGUGCAUUAUUGCAGUGAAACUACAGAUAUUGUAUUACUGUUGUAAAUUGUAAUUCAUUUUAUUUAUAUAGAGCUUAGAUGCAUUCAACAGAAGCGACGUACAGUUGCCAAAUCGGUAACACACUUGUAUCUUACGCGCUUGGAGUAGAAGUUCCAUCCCGUGUAUGGCAAAAGAUUUUUUUCUUAAUUCUUUUUAAGUUUGAAUAAAUUUUCAACUCAUUUAAACUCAAUAACUUCAAUAAAGAUGAAGGAUCCCAUCACUGUAGUCAUCACUCGCAAGAAGAAAUUUCUUAUUCAUAUUAAAUUAUUUUACUUUGUAAUUUAAUAAAUUUUUUACUUUAUCUAUAUGUGGUACUACUAGACUAUAAUAUUCCAAACUUUUUGGUAACAUGUUGCUAUAUAAAUCAUUUCUAAAGUGAUUGUUAGUUUCUCCUGAAUUAACAAUGGAUUUUUACAAUUAUAAUCAAAUUUUAUAAUACACUCAAUUGAGUAAAU